UACGAAGGGGGCGAGCGUUGUUCGGAAUUACUGGGCGUAAAGGGCGCGCAGGCGGCCUUAGAAGUCAGAUGUGAAAAGCUCCGGGCUCAACCUGGGGAAUGGCAUUUGAUACUCUGAGGCUGGAGUACGGGAGAGGAGAGUGGAAUUCCCAGUGUAGAGGUGAAAUUCGUAGAUAUUGGGAAGAACACCGGUGGCGAAGGCGGCUCUCUGGACCGUAACUGGACGCUGAGGCGCGAAAAGCGUGGGGGAGCAAACAGGG
rnacentral:rRNA from 1 species